GCCGUGUUGGCGUAGUGGUAGCGCGUCUCACUCGUAACCUUGCAUGUCUGGAAGGAGCGAUGAGAAGGUCACUCGUUCAAUCCGGGUACGCGGCA